rnacentral:lncRNA from 1 species
CUCUAUUCUAAACUGCAUUAUUCAGUCUAAAGGCAAAUCCUGAGCAUCUAGGUGACUGUACAAUUUCUGCUAUUGUUACAGGCUGGGGGUGUAAGGAUAAAACAGCUCUACUGGAAAGGACUUUGGAGUACCGGUGUAUGGCAAACUGAAUGUGAGCCAGCAGUGUGUGCUCACAGCUCAGAAAGCCAACUGUGUUCUGGGCUGCUUGGAAAGAAGCAAAUGAUAGUAUCCCUUGGCGUGACCUGAUCUUCAGCUCUCCAGCAUGUGCAGUGCAUAGCACAGAACUGCAAAGGACACAUUCAGGAUGUUGACAGAUCAAGGGCAGAUCUGGAUAGUUGAUCUGAUGCUGGACACAGAGAGCCUAAAAAAUGCUUUUCCCAGAGGUGAAAGGAUAAAAGGAAAUCAUUGUGAGCUGCAGCACUGGAAAUUCCAAUUGAACAGAAGGAAGAAUUUUCACUAUCGGGGAGGUGCCCAGAGAUGUUCUGGUAUCUCCAUCACUGAAGAUCUUCAAAACAG